GAGAAAGAUUUUAAAAAUAGUAAGUACUGCUAAUCCUUACAACCCGUGGUUAAAGUCCAUGGCUUCCUCG
rnacentral:tRNA from 1 species